rnacentral:rRNA from 1 species
AUUGAACGCUGGCGGCAUGCCUUACACAUGCAAGUCGAACGGUAACGGGUCCUUCGGGAUGCCGACGAGUGGCGAACGGGUGAGUAAUAUAUCGGAACGUGCCCAGUAGUGGGGGAUAACUGCUCGAAAGAGCAGCUAAUACCGCAUACGACCUGAGGGUGAAAGGGGGGGAUCGCAAGACCUCUCGCUAUUGGAGCGGCCGAUAUCAGAUUAGCUAGUUGGUGGGGUAAAGGCCUACCAAGGCAACGAUCUGUAGUUGGUCUGAGAGGACGACCAGCCACACUGGGACUGAGACACGGCCCAGACUCCUACGGGAGGCAGCAGUGGGGAAUUUUGGACAAUGGGCGCAAGCCUGAUCCAGCAAUGCCGCGUGCAGGAAGAAGGCCUUCGGGUUAUAAACUGCUUUUGUCAGGGAAGAAAUCUUCUGGGCUAAUACCCCGGGAGGAUGACGGUACCUGAAGAAUAAGCACCGGCUAACUACGUGCCAGCAGCCGCGGUAAUACGUAGGGUGCGAGCGUUAAUCGGAAUUACUGGGCGUAAAGCGUGCGCAGGCGGCUUUGCAAGACAGAUGUGAAAUCCCCGGGCUCAACCUGGGAGCUGCAUUUGUGACUGCAAGGCUAGAGUACGGCAGAGGGGGAUGGAAUUCCGCGUGUAGCAGUGAAAUGCGUAGAUAUGCGGAGGAACACCAAUGGCGAAGGCAAUCCCCUGGGCCUGUACUGACGCUCAUGCACGAAAGCGUGGGGAGCAAACAGGAUUAGAUACCCUGGUAGUCCACGCCCUAAACGAUGUCAACUGGUUGUUGGACGGCUUGCUGUUCAGUAACGAAGCUAACGCGUGAAGUUGACCGCCUGGGGAGUACGGCCGCAAGGUCGAAACUCAAAGGAAUUGACGGGGACCCGCACAAGCGGUGGAUGAUGUGGUUUAAUUCGAUGCAACGCGAAAAACCUUACCUACCCUUGACAUGUCAAGAAUUCUGCAGAGAUGUGGAAGUGCUCGAAAGAGAACUUGAACACAGGUGCUGCAUGGCCGUCGUCAGCUCGUGUCGUGAGGUGUUGGGUUAAGUCCCGCAACGAGCGCAACCCUUGUCAUUAGUUGCUACGCAAGAGCACUCUAAUGAGACUGCCGGUGACAAACCGGAGGAAGGUGGGGAUGACGUCAGGUCCUCAUGGCCCUUAUGGGUAGGGCUACACACGUCAUACAAUGGCCGGUACAGAGGGCUGCCAACCCGCGAGGGGGAGCCAAUCCCAGAAAACCGGUCGUAGUCCGGAUCGUAGUCUGCAACUCGACUGCGUGAAGUCGGAAUCGCUAGUAAUCGCGGAUCAGCUUGCCGCGGUGAAUACGUUCCCGGGUCU